rnacentral:rRNA from 1 species
UAGGGAAUAUUGGUCAAUGGACGAAAGUCUGAACCAGCCAUCCCGCGUGCAGGAUGACGGCCCUAUGGGUUGUAAACUGCUUUUGUACAGGAAGAAUAAGCUCUACGUGUAGAGUGAUGACGGUACUGUAAGAAUAAGGAUCGGCUAACUCCGUGCCAGCAGCCGCGGUAAUACGGAGGAUCCAAGCGUUGUCCGGAUUUAUUGGGUUUAAAGGGUGCGUAGGCGGCUUAUUAAGUCAGUGGUGAAAGUUUGCGGCUUAACCGUAAAAUUGCCAUUGAAACUGAUAAGCUUGAAUUUGGUUGAGGUUGCCGGAAUGUGUCAUGUAGCGGUGAAAUGCUUAGAUAUGAUACAGAACACCGAUUGCGAAGGCAGGUAACUAAGCCAAUAUUGACGCUGAGGC